rfam:Stegodyphus mimosarum contig51629, whole genome shotgun sequence.
GCCUUCGUGGUAUAACGGUAGCACACUCAGCGCGUAAUCGAGAGUUCCAGGUUCGAAUCCCGGUGAGGGCA